rnacentral:rRNA from 1 species
CGCUAGCUACAGGCUUAACACAUGCAAGUCGAGGGGUAUCAGGAAGAAAGCUUGCUUUCUUUGCUGGCGACCGGCGCACGGGUGAGUAACACGUAUCCAACCUGCCCUUUACUCGGGGAUAGCCUUUCGAAAGAAAGAUUAAUACCCGAUAGCAUAAUGAUUCCGCAUGGUUUCAUUAUUAAAGGAUUCCGGUAAAGGAUGGGGAUGCGUUCCAUUAGGUUGUUGGUGAGGUAACGGCCCACCAAGCCUUCGAUGGAUAGGGGUUCUGAGAGGAAGGUCCCCCACAUUGGAACUGAGACACGGUCCAAACUCCUACGGGAGGCAGCAGUGAGGAAUAUUGGUCAAUGGGCGCUAGCCUGAACCAGCCAAGUAGCGUGAAGGAUGAAGGCUCUAUGGGUCGUAAACUUCUUUUAUAUAAGAAUAAAGUGCAGUAUGUAUACUGUUUUGUAUGUAUUAUAUGAAUAAGGAUCGGCUAACUCCGUGCCAGCAGCCGCGGUAAUACGGAGGAUCCGAGCGUUAUCCGGAUUUAUUGGGUUUAAAGGGAGCGUAGGCGGACUGGUAAGUCAGCUGUGAAAGUUUGCGCUUCAACCGUAAAAUUGCAGUUGAUAUGUUCAGUCUUGAGUACAGUAGAGGGGGGCGGAAUUCGUGGUGUAGCGGGAAAAUGCUUAGAUAUCACGAAGAACUCCGAUUGCGAAGGCAGCUCACUGGACUGCAACUGACAAUGAUGCUCGAAAGUGUGGGUAUCAAACAGGAUUAGAUACCCUGGUAGUCCACACAGUAAACGAUGAAUACUCGCUGUUUGCGAUAUACAGUAAGCGGCCAAGCGAAAGCAUUAAGUAUUCCACCUGGGGAGUACGCCGGCAACGGUGAAACUCAAAGGAAUUGACGGGGGCCCGCACAAGCGGAGGAACAUGUGGUUUAAUUCGAUGAUACGCGAGGAACCUUACCCGGGCUUAAAUUGCAGUGGAAUGAUGUGGAAACAUGUCAGUGAGCAAUCACCGCUGUGAAGGUGCUGCAUGGUUGUCGUCAGCUCGUGCCGUGAGGUGUCGGCUUAAGUGCCAUAACGAGCGCAACCCUUAUCUUUAGUUACUAACAGGUUAUGCUGAGGACUCUAGAGAGACUGCCGUCGUAAGAUGUGAGGAAGGUGGGGAUGACGUCAAAUCAGCACGGCCCUUACGUCCGGGGCUACACACGUGUUACAAUGGGGGGUACAGAAGGCAGCUAGCGGGUGACCGUAUGCUAAUCCCAAAAUCCUCUCUCAGUUCGGAUCGAAGUCUGCAACCCGACUUCGUGAAGCUGGAUUCGCUAGUAAUCGCGCAUCAGCCACGGCGCGGUGAAUACGUUCCCGGGCCUUGUACACACCGCCCGUCAAGCCAUGGGAGCCGGGGGUACCUGAAGUACGUAACCGCAAGGAUCGUCCUAGGGUA